rnacentral:lncRNA from 1 species
UUUUGUGUGUGAUAUGCUUUAGGAGCUUGGUUAUUUAUACCUUGUCUCUAGCAUGCAUUGACUCCAAUAUUAUUAUUUCUCGACCUCAUAUAGUUGUGACUUCUACAUAAGUCCAAUUACGUUUGCUUAACAUAGCGCUAAAUUUUUCCCGAAAGCAAUAACAUUUUUGUAAGUGAGAUUGUAAGUAUCCCAUUCCUCAUGGUAUUGUGUGAAGAUUUUACCUCUUUUACAUUUUUGAGAGCUAGUGACAUACUUG